CCUGGUGAGCUGAAACAUCUUAAUAACCAGAGGAAAAGAAAGCAACAACGAUUCCUGUAGUAGCGACGAGAGAAACGAGA
rfam:Cajanus cajan Scaffold127970_1, whole genome shotgun sequence.